rnacentral:lncRNA from 1 species
GUUAUCAGCACACAUUACAUUUUCAGUGCUUUUACAAAGAAAAAAGGUGAUCUGUUUCAUUAAACAUUGAAUUGGCUAAUUCUUGCUCUAAUGUGGCUUUAAUGUCGGGAGUCACUCCUAGCUUUAAUUGACAGUUGUUAAUAUAAAAGUGAAAGUGUAACGGUGCCAUAUGUUUUAUUCCAGUGGGUGUGAUGCACUGAGAAGUGAGUUUCUUUGGGAUUUAAUGAGUAUUAAAUAGUGCAUUUUCUGUACACU